CCUCGGGGGGCUGCAGUGGGGAAUAUUGGACAAUGGGCGAAAGCCUGAUCCAGCCAUGCCGCGUGUGUGAAGAAGGCCUUCGGGUUGUAAAGCACUUUCAGUGGGGAAGAAAGCCUUGGGGCUAAUACCCUCGAGGAAGGACAUCACCCACAGAAGAAGCACCGGCUAACUCCGUGCCAGCAGCCGCGGUAAUACGGAGGGUGCGAGCGUUAAUCGGAAUUACUGGGCGUAAAGCGCGCGUAGGCGGUCUGAUAAGCCGGUUGUGAAAGCCCCGGGCUCAACCUGGGAACGGCAUCCGGAACUGUCAGGCUAGAGUGCAGGAGAGGAAGGUAGAAUUCCCGGUGUAGCGGUGAAAUGCGUAGAGAUCGGAAGGAAUACCAGUGGCGAAGGCGGCCUUCUGGACUGACACUGACGCUGAGGUGCGAAAGCGUGGGUAGCAAACAGGAUUAGAUACCCCGGUAGU
rnacentral:rRNA from 1 species